UACUGUCCUCUAUCCUUGAAUCCCUUCCCUUUUCAUCCCUUGUCAAAUCCCAACCCUGGAUUACUCCUAUCAUCUGCCCUCUCCAUUACUAUCCAUACUCUGCUGAACAGUGGUAGCACAAUGAUAGGGGAAGGAUCUAGAAGCAACAGUGAGGAGCAAGAAGCAUCCCUCCUCUUUCUUAGAAUGAGAGAAGGUACAUCCAGUGUUGGAAGACUUUUCAAGUUCAAAAUCAAUUUACCAGUAGGAACUACUUUUUAAUAACACUUUAAAGAAUGUUAUAGAGAUCAUCAAGAAAGAUGUUAAGUUGAAUAAGACUGAUUGCUGAAGAAACCCUGGGAUGCCCAUUUAGUAUGCUAGAGCUCACUCCGAGUCAUGGACAAUUACCCUCCUGUCAGUGCAGCUGCCAAGUUGGUUGUUCACCCAUAACUAUGCUGAGGUUAAGAUGAUGCUCUGUAGCUCUUCAGACUGACACGUGGGAGAAAAUCAAAAGUUUUAUUUAAAUCAAGAUAGAAGAGUGGAAAACGGGAGUUGUAAUAUGUGUGGGCUGUUAUUUCCAACCCUGGUCUUUCUCCUAAACUGUGAUCAUUCACAUCAACACGUACCUAUUGGAUGUUUCAAAUUGGAUGUACUAUACAGAUUUCAAAAUAAAC